CGACGACGAGUGUGGAUAUUGAGGAAGCCUGGUCCUCAUUCAAAUCAGAUACACUUUGGAGUACAACUACCUGCUGGAGUGCACUGCCUUAGACCCCAGAUUCCGGGCUCUGCCACAUCUAGAGAAAAACCAGCGUGAAGGUGUAUUCCACAGACUGAAAGAGAAAGCUGCGCUGUUGCAGAACCAGGAUGAGGGUGAAGAAGGUGCCAGUGGCCACCCACCUGCAACAGAGGAGCCUCUUGACCAGACAGAUAGCACAGGAGCUGAGCAGAAACAACCUCCUCCUAAGAAAACUGCACUGGAGGAUCUUCUUGGAGGUUUCGAUGAACCAGCUGCAGCUGCACAGCCUAUUAGUCAGAUUGAUGCAGAAAUGAAUAAGUACAGAGCUGAAACAUCCUUUUCCCUCAACAGCUACCCACUCAAGUGGUGGAAAGAGAAUGCUAGGCUGUACCCACUGCUCUCUGGUCUAGCAAAAGCAUACCUCUCCACACCAGCCACCUCAGUCCCUAGUGAAAGGGUUUUUUCAUCAGCAGGGGACAUUGUAAAUGUGCAGAGAUCUCAGCUAAUGCCAGAAAACGUGGAUAUGCUGA